rnacentral:lncRNA from 1 species
UUCCGUCACUCGAGAGCACCGCUGUAGCAUCACUGACUGCUUCCCAUGAUCGCAGUGAAGAUUCUCCCUGUAGCAGCGACGAGCAAUCCGUCAAGGUCGGAGUUUUCGUGAGAGCACUGGAUCCAUACCCCAAUUCGCCGAGCAUGGAGCAGCAGCCUGAUCUUCCAGCGACCACCAGAGAGAUCGACCCAGCAGCGACGACGACGACGACGACGACGAUGGCGAUCUCAUCACCGCCACUUCCACCACCAUCGCUAGCAGCCCCGGGAAGAAGCCCAUCACUGGCAGCCACCACCAAGGUGAGCAACUGCAAGGAAAACGAUGAGCCGAGUGUUAGAAAGGACAGGGAGGAGUGGAGCGAGGCGGCCAUAUCGACGCUCAUAGAUGCUUACACUGCCAAGUAUGGCCAAUUGAACGGCAAGGGGCUGCGGAGCAAGGACUGGGCCGAGGUCGUGGACACAGUCAACAGCAACCAAAAGUCGGCUAAGACGGUGGAGCAUUGCCGGAACAAAAUGGACACGCUUACCAAGCGCUACAAGUCGGAGAAGAAGAACAAGCUGUCCGGAGCCGAGAGCUCCUGGCCGUGGUAUGACAAGAUGGAGAUCAUACGGGGCUGCUCUCCGGGAAAAUCUGUCACUGCUGCCGCCGCUGCUGCUGCUGCUGCUGCGGCCGCUGCCGCCGCUGCUGCCUCGGCAAGUAACAGCAACAUCAGCAAAGCUUUUGUGGGAGUUAUUCCUCCUGGAAAGGAGAGGAUUAGAAACAAGAGAGGGAAGAAAGUAGUCCUGAGCAACAGCGAAGACGCGUCAGUCCAGAGCCAGAGCGAGAAAAACAAGGAAGGUACUUACCCGCCAGUAAAGCCAGUGGUCGUAGUAGCACCAUCGCCAGGAGGAGGAGGAAUACCAGCACCAGCAGCUCCGCCACCACCACCACCGAGUUUAAGCUUUAGCAAAGUUGAUGGACCCGGUUUCAAGC